GUUGUCCGGCGGGCCUAUGAUCAGCACCAGCUCGCGGGAGAAGGUGCUGCCAGACUUCUCCACACUGCCCAGCUGCACACGCCGGGGCUCCUGGGACUGCCGUGGCUCAUUCACAGGGCGCGAAUCCUGAAGACCCAAAUAGGGUGAGUGAUUUCUUGAAGGUCUCCUUGCUGAAGGCAUCGCUGAAGGCUUCGCAGGUGAGGGACAAGCCGUUGUCUUCCCUCCGCACCAAGAGUGUCAGAUUGGACAUGGAGAUGUGUCCACCAUGCAGGCCCUAGCAAGGACACAUAAAGCUUUCCCACCCUCCCUUCUGUAAGACCCAGGAACUGGAGCCUCAGUCUGGGCUCUGCAGAGCCUCAAGGGAUGUCAAACCGUAAUCAUCUACACCCUCACAUCCAUGACUGUCUCAUCCGUGGGCAGCAACUGCCGUCCACCCAACCACCAUCGCAGCAGGACCCGUGGGCGACUGGACUUGACACACUGUUGUAGGACUGACAGCUGAGCCGAGCUCCGUGGUCUUCGGGUCGAACGGUCAUCACCAGCACACUGUGAGCCACUGCCUGGGCAUGCUCUGUGCCCCAAGCUAUGGACACUGGUUUACCGUUCUGGACACAGAGGCAUCGCUGGUUACGUCAGCAUCGCUCCUUCCCCAUCCCCCACGUCAGCCCUCCAUCCUCACCUUCAGCCACUGCAGGGUAGCAGGUGGAUUUCCACCCCUGGCUAUGCAGGGCAGCUCCAGGUUCUCCCCCGCCCGUAUGUGCCCCUCAUUCAGGCCUGGCCAAUCAAUGACAGGAGGUCCUGGGGGGACUGGAGAGCAUAGACCACUCAGGGAUCCUGGAAAACACAUCUACUCUUUCUGGGCUCCAUAACUUGCUUUCCUCUCCUCUCGUGGACAAGGGAGAUGGCUCAGGAGGUCCUUGGCAACAAGCCCAACAACCUGACUUCAUGUCCACUUUGCAAGGAGAGACAUAACUUCUGAAAGAUGCACAUGCACAUGCACAUGACGACAACAACAAUAACAACAAUAACAACAAAUCUUAGUUUUUUUCCAUGGCUGCUUGCUUUUUUGUUUCCAGUGCUGGGUUUAGAACCUGGGUUUAUGCUCACUCCAGCGUGGAUUUUAUGGCUGAGUUACAAAGUCCAGCCCUCAGUAGCCCAGGCUGGCCUUACUGCCCUUCCGCCCCCACCUCCCGCAUGCUGGGAUUAUAGGUACACAACGCGGCGGCUGAUGACAA
rnacentral:lncRNA from 1 species